AUACAUAGGUGGCAAGCGUUGUCCGGAAUUAUUGGGCGUAAAGCGCAUGUAGGCGGUAAUUUAAGUCUGUCGUGAAACUGCGGGGCUCAGCCCCGUAUGGCGAUGGAAACUGGGUUACUUGAGUGCAGGAGAGGAAAGGGGAACUCCCAGUGUAGCGGUGAAAUGCGUAGACAUUGGGAAGAACACCGGUGGCGAAGGCGCCUUUCUGGACUGUGUCUGACGCUGAGAUGCGAAAGCCAGGGUAGCGAACGGGAUUAGAUACCCCGGUAGUCCUGGCCGUAAACGAUGGGUACUAGGUGUGGGAGGUAUCGACCCCUUCCGUGCCGGAGUUAACGCAAUAAGUACCCCGCCUGGGGAGUACGGCCGCAAGGCUUAAACUCAAAGGAAUUGACGGGG
rnacentral:rRNA from 1 species